GUGCCAGCCGCCGCGGUAAGACAGAGGGGGCAAGCGUUGUCCGGAAUUACUGGGCGUAAAGCGCGCGCAGGCGGCUCGGUAUGUGCCUGGUGACAGUCUCUCGCUCAACGAGAGGAGGCCUGGGUAGACAGCCGAGCUAGCAGCAGGGAGAGGGCAGUGGAAUACCCGGUGGAGCGGUGAAAUGCGUAGAGAUCGGGUGGAACACCAGUGGUGAAGACGGCUGCCUGGCCCUAACUGGACGCUGAGGCGCGACAGCGUGGGGAGCAAACGGGAUUAGAUACCCCGGUAGUCCACGCCGUAAACGAUGUGGAGCCGGUGCUGGCGGGUGAUUGCGCCUGUCGGUGCCCCAGCUUACGCGAUGACUCCACCGCCUGGGAACUACGGCCGCAAGGCUAAA
rnacentral:rRNA from 1 species